UCCCCUAGUAACUGCGAGUGAAGCGGGAAAAGCUCAAAUUUAAAAUCUGGCGGUCUUUGGCCGUCCGAGUUGUAGUCUGGAGAAGUGCUUUCCGCGCUGGACCGUGUAUAAGUCUCUUGGAACAGAGCGUCAUAGAGGGUGAGAAUCCCGUCUUUGACACGGACUACCAGUGCUUUGUGAUGCGCUCUCAAAGAGUCGAGUUGUUUGGGAAUGCAGCUCAAAAUGGGUGGUGAAUUCCAUCUAAAGCUAAAUAUUGGCGAGAGACCGAUAGCGAACAAGUACCGUGAGGGAAAGAUGAAAAGCACUUUGGAAAGAGAGUUAAACAGUACGUGAAAUUGCUGAAAGGGAAACGCUUGAAGUCAGUCGCGUCGUCCGGAACUCAGCCUUGCUUUCGCUUGGUGCACUUUCCGGAUAACGGGCCAGCAUCGAUUUUGACCGUCGGAAAAGGGCUAGAGUAAUGUGGCACCUCCGGGUGUGUUAUAGACUCUAGUCGCACACGGCGGUCGGGAUCGAGGAACGCAGCGCGCCGCAAGGCAGGGGUUYGCCCACUUUCGCGCUUAGGAUGCUGGCAUAAUGGCUUUAAACGACCCGUCUUGAAACACGGACCAAGGAGUCUAACAUACCUGCGAGUGUUUGGGUGGAAAACCCGAGCGCGUAAUGAAAGUGAAAGUUGAGACCUCUGUCGUGGAGGGCAUCGACGCCCGGACCUGACGUUCUCUGACGGAUCCGCGGUAGAGCAUGUAUGUUGGGACCCGAAAGAUGGUGAACUAUGCCUGAAUAGGGUGAAGCCAGAGGAAACU
rnacentral:rRNA from 1 species